AUUGAACGCUGGCGGCAUGCCUUACACAUGCAAGUCGAACGGUAACAGGUCUUCGGAUGCUGACGAGUGGCGAACGGGUGAGUAAUAUAUCGGAACGUGCCCAGUAGUGGGGGAUAGCCCGGCGAAAGCCGGAUUAAUACCGCAUACGACCUGAGGGUGAAAGCGGGGGAUCGCAAGACCUCGCGCUAUUGGAGCGGCCGAUAUCAGAUUAGCUAGUUGGUGGGGUAAAGGCCUACCAAGGCUACGAUCUGUAGUUGGUCUGAGAGGACGACCAGCCACACUGGGACUGAGACACGGCCCAGACUCCUACGGGAGGCAGCAGUGGGGAAUUUUGGACAAUGGGCGCAAGCCUGAUCCAGCAAUGCCGCGUGAGGGACGAAGGUUUUCGGAUCGUAAACCUCUGUUGUACGGGAAGAAGGAAUUGACGGUACCGUACGAGUAAGCCCCGGCCAAACUACGUGCCAGCAGCCGCGGUAAUUACGUCUACUG
rnacentral:rRNA from 1 species